CCAGUUUUGGCUCAGAGAGUAAAGCGUCUGCCUGCAAUGCAGGAGACAUGGGUUCAAUCCCUGAGUCAGGA
rnacentral:tRNA from 1 species